rnacentral:rRNA from 1 species
CGAAAGCCUGACGGAGCAAGACCGCGUGAGGGAGGAAGGCUCUUGGGUUGUAAACCUCUUUUCUCAGGGAAGAAGCUCUGACGGUACCUGAGGAAUCAGCCUCGGCUAACUCCGUGCCAGCAGCCGCGGUAAUACGGAGGAGGCAAGCGUUAUCCGGAAUUAUUGGGCGUAAAGCGUCCGCAGGGGGCGCAUCAAGUCUGCUGUCAAAGACCAGGGCUUAACCCUGGGCCGGCAGUGGAAACUGGUUAGCUGGAGUACGGUAGGGGUAGAGGGAAUUCCUGGUGUAGCGGUGAAAUGCGUAGAUAUCAGGAAGAACACCGGUGGCGAAAGCGCUCUACUGGGCCGCAACUGACACUCAGGGACGAAAGCUAGGGGAGCG